AACUUCAAACUGUUCAGCCUAUUCGGGAAUCACAGGCUUUCCCUUGGCAAUUUCCCAGAAUUUCAGCGGCACCCCCGACACCUCCUUCCACAGCUGCUGGAGGUCCGACGGACACAUCGUGGCUGGCAACCUUAGUCGUUCUCGUCAUCACUGGCAAAGUGUUUUCUCUCCUCUGAGGUUCCUCCCAGUCAGGAUCUUCUUGUGAGGUUGACGGAUGACGUGGAUCCAUGUUUUCUCUACAGCCUCCACAUUUCAGAGGAAGAUUUUCAAAGUUUAAAAGUGCAGCGGAGAAUUCGGUUGGAAUUCACAUCGUUUCCCGACAUGCUCAUGGAGUAUUUUAAUGAAUGUCGAUCCGAGCAGAAGUCCAGCCAUCCCAGGUUCCAGCUGCUUCUUCCUUGUGACUCUGCCUCACUCCAAGGCCCCGCCAACUUCAGUGUGGUGGAGAGAUGUUCCUACCAAGACACGGACCGCCUGACCCUGAGGCUCAAGCCAGGCUCAGACAGAGAAGUCAAUGAGUAUCUGGCUGCGUCUCUGACAUCU